rnacentral:rRNA from 1 species
UAGGGAAUCUUCCGCAAUGGACGCAAGUCUGACGGAGCAACGCCGCGUGAGUGAAGAAGGAUUUCGGUUCGUAAAACUCUGUUGUUAGAGAAGAACAGCGCAUAGAGUAACUGUUAUGCGUGUGACGGUAUCUAACCAGAAAGCCACGGCUAACUACGUGCCAGCAGCCGCGGUAAUACGUAGGUGGCAAGCGUUGUCCGGAUUUAUUGGGCGUAAAGCGAGCGCAGGCGGUCAAUUAAGUCUGAUGUGAAAGCCCCCGGCUCAACCGGGGAGGGUCAUUGGAAACUGGUUGACUUGAGUGCAGAAGAGGAGAGUGGAAUUCCAUGUGUAGCUGUGAAAUGCGUAGAUAUAUGGAGGAACACCAGUGGCGAAGGCGACUCUCUGGUCUGUAACUGACGCUGAGGCUAGAAAGCGUGGGUAGCAAACAGG